ensembl:lncRNA
GGAACCGCGAACCUGGGCGGCUGAAGCCAAGUACCCUGCACUCAACCACUAUGCCACUGGGCGGCCCACAAUUUUUAGAUUUCUGAGAAGCUGGCACGGGUGAAAUCUUGGGAUGCUUGUGGCAGUUCCUCGGCACUGACAGGGUGGAGCGUCUCUCCUGUCUUCUGAGAAGCAUCUGCUCAAGCCUUCGAUCCGUUUUCUGGGGGUUGUUCCUCUCUUCCUUGCUGACAUGCCGGUUUGCUCUGGACGUCAACCUGGGUGCCCUGGAGGUCAGUCCUCUGCGGUGGGAUCGCAGAAGCUCUCGGUGAGUCCCGGGGUGUCCGUUCGCAGCUCUACCAUUGGCUCUUUGGGAUCUUGGAUUGCUUGAUUUUCCUUCCUUGAAAAGGGGGAGCCUAAUUGCUCUGCACGCCCCUUGAGAAAGGACUGGACUUAGUCUUGGCUUCUAAUGAAUAAACAAGACAGAAGGGAUGCUGUGACUCUCAGCGACUCCUGAGACUAGGUCCUGAAAGGCACGUGGCUUUCUCGUGGCUUUCCUCUUCAAUCAUGUACCCUAGGGAAGCAGCCACAUGCUUGAGGACACGCAAGCAGCCCUGUGGAGACCAGAAGCCAAGACACUCUGCCACAGCCAAAGAAUGUGCCAUCUUGCAAGUGGGUCCGCCAGCCCCAGUCAGCCUUCGGAGGACACCGUGACCCCAGCAGAUGGGACUCCAAGCCAGAAGCACCUGCUGCAGCUGCUCCUGAAUUCCUAACCCACAGAAACAGCAAGAAAAGAAUUAUUGCCUUAAGCCACUAAGUUUAAUUUGUUCUGCAACAAUAGAUAACUAACUCAUCCUCAUUCAGGAUUCCUUCUUGAAUUUCACCUUCUUUCUGAAGUCUUUCCUCUGAAAUUUUCUUCAGUGACAUCCUGUUGGUGGUAAACUCUCAAUUUUCUUUUGUUUGAAAAUUUUAUUUUGCCCCCAUUCUUGAAAGAUAGUUUCUCUGGGUGUGGACCUCUAGAUUAAUAAUUGUAUUGUCUUGGCUGUCAAAAUCAUCACUCACCAUCCCUGGCCUCUGAUGUUGUGGCCCUUCCUUUGUACACAACUCAUUUUCCAUCUCUGGAUUCCUCUACGGUCUUGUAAGAGAAAAUGUGCGUUUCUUUUUAAUUGUCCUGGCUGGAAUUUGUUGGUUUCCUGGAUCUGAGAAUUGAUGUGUUUAGACAAGUCUGGAAAAACUGAAGCCAGUUUAUCUUCGUAUAUUGCUCCCUUCCUAUCCUUUUUCAGGAAAUCCAGCCAGAUGCUAAACAGCCCUAUCUAUCUAUCCUUCAAGACUCUUCACCUCUCGUGCAUGGUCCCCAUCUCUCAGUCUCUCUGGGCUGUAUUCUGGGUAAUUUCCUAAGCUCUGUCUUUCAAUUCACUAAAUCUCUUUUCAGCUGUGCUGAAAAUUUUCACCUGAAGUUUAGUCCAUUUGGGUUUUUAAUUACAUUUUUUUUAAUUUUUAGAAGUUGUAUUUGAUUCUUUUUCAUCCUUUAUUGGUCACUUUCACAGAAUAAAAGAUUAUAGUUUGUUAUAGAAUAAGAAACUAUAGGGGCUGGCCUGGUGGCACAGCAGUUAAGUUUGCGUGCUCCACUUCAGUGGCCCAGGGUUCACUGGUUCGGAUCCCGGGUGCGGACAUGGCACUGCUUGUCAAGCCAUGCUGUGGCAGGCGUCCCACAUAUAAAAUAGAGGAAGAAGGGCAUGGAUGUGAGCUGAGGGCCAGUCUUCCUCAGCAAAAACAGGAGGAUUGGCAGCAGAUGUUAGCUCAGGGCUAAUCUUCU